CUGUGGAAGUUGACUGUGUGCUUUGGAGUUCAUUUGCUGAGGAGGGUGAGCAAGAGCUGCUGUGUGUCAAUAAAAGCAAAUCCAUGAAAAAAUCCAGUAGCUAAUCCAGUUCUCCAAAAACAACUGAUGAAACAUCUGCUGUGAUCAUGACUCAGUCCCUGUGGUGCCCAGCUGCUCAUUUUGCCCAGACAUUCUGCAGGUCUCCAUCAUCUGUUUCAACAUUGCAUGGGAAAAGGACUGGGGGAGGUAACUUCCAUGCUUCACAUAUGAGAUUCUGCUUUGUCUACUGAAUGGGGAGUGGAGCACAAGAGGAGCACAAGUGCUACCAGUGGUGACCGAAAGCUGUGGUGACCUAACCAGCCUCUGAAGUCCCUGAUGAGGUACCCAUGAAUGCUGUGUGAGCACCCUGAUGGUGGGCAGCACUCAGAGUUCUCAUCAGCCACUGGUCCUUUCGUGCUUCUUCAGGCAAAUGAUGCAAGCACUUCUGUGUGAGAACAGACACCCUUUCCCUGCCUCUGCUGUAAAAGCAAUGCAGAUACAUGGGUGAGAUCAAUUGUCCCACAUUUCAGGCCAACAAGCAUUUCAGGAACAGCUUCAAAGGCAUGGAGCUCAAACUGAUGAGAAGGUGGGUACAGGCGAUCAGAUUUACUGUCUAGCCUUGGAAAAAUCAGAAUAAUUUAUUUUUUCUGUCUUGAUCGGGAUUUUUUUCUUUAAAAUAGAUAAGAAACUUUUCUUUUUUUUAAAUAAGAAACCUGGAAAUUACUGCUUAAAAUCAAUAAGCUGCAAUUCCUAUGAGAAUGGCCUAUCUGGAGCAGCUGGGUUUAUACCCUCAAGGGAGAGGCUGGAGAAAGUCAAAGGAAAAACCAGGAGUACAUAACUGUUUCUGGACUGAUUCACAGAUCUGUUUGCCAUCAAUGCUAUCAUUGUGGUGGUGACAUGGACUGUUACAGCUAAGAGCAAAGAACGCUGAAAGUAAAGGGGUUUGACCCUACAGCUUGAAAUACUCAAAGGUUUAGUGUUUUGAGUAAGGCGAUAAUCCAAAGCCUAUAAAGGCAGAAGAAAAACAGCCUUUUGCUUCAGUGGGCAUUGCAUCAGGCCUUCAGAUGACUGGCAAUCAGCAGACUUCAUACUGUGUAAUUCUGUAUGAAAGAAGCAUUAGUUCUCCAACAUACAGUCAGCUGAGGAGGAAUAAGACACGCUGUGUCUUUGCAACUCACCCUUCUGGUCAGCAGACAUCCCUGCCACUGCAGGCAAUGUAGAUGUUCUUGAAUAACUGGUGGAAAGACAUCCAGCUCUUCUUUGCAACUGCUGCUUCCUGCUAAGCCAGAGAGAGAAUUAGCAGAGAUCCCAUUGUCACAUACCCCAAAUCUGAACCCUGGGUUAUAUUUAAAUGAGCACAGGAAAGAGACUGAAGACUCUAUGACCCCUGUGAAUUGGGGGAUUGGUUUUUAUAAACUAGAGGGUGAAUGUCAGAAGAUCAGAUUACAAGUGUCUACCUGUGUGUUUUCACUGUGUGGUGGGUCACCUGGAGUUCAGGCUCUGUAAAUUCCAAGGAGGUGGUUCCAGAGCAGUUUGAGCACUUCAGCAAUUCCUAGCAGUGGUGGUCUCAAUUUGGGAAGGAUUUCCUAACACAUCUGAAAGCCAAAAGCUCCUUUGCUAAUUAAUAUAGAAGAGUGAACCAGUGGGUAAGUCCCUAGAAGAGAGACUAAAUCAGGCUAAUUUGUUAUAUAAUCCCUUUUAAUAUGGUGAAUUAGGGUGAUGGCUAGACAACUACAUAUUUAAUUCUUCAAAUAAUUACAGGUGGGUGUUGACAUUAAAGGUGAGAGAGAGCAAGUUAAUUUCUGCUUGUUGUUUUCAGCACGUGCCAAGCUCUUACUUCACACCAGUGAGAUGAAGUAACAGUUGGCACAAAUCACCAAAAGGAGAAAAUUAAAAACCACAAAAGCCCAGCAACCCAAACUGUCACUUGCUGACAAUCCUAUUUAGUCUCUUUGCUGAGAAAAAAAAAAAAAAAAAGUAAAUGAAGGCCUCAAACAGAGUAUUCCACCUGAGUAAACCUGGGUGUCUGGUUGGGUCCUCCUCAAUGCAAAUAAUGUGUGAGAAGGCAGCAAUAGCCUCAGUUUUCCAACCUCCUCCUCCUCUAUACCUUUGUGAACUGCUGUCAUGGGCAGCCCCAGAGUGGGGCAGGGCAGGAUGACAGCACUUGACUCAGGUUGGUCCUUUCUUCUGCUGGCACUCUUGGCUAUGAAAAACCUGUUCCUCCCCAUUGAUAGGAAUGGAGGUGCUUGGGGCUGCUCCACCAUGUGAAUCAGGAUAGUGGAGUUUUAUGACCUCCCUUUGCUAACACUACUGAAUAUGACCCAAAACAGCUGGAGGUAGCUGUAUCUGCACAACCUGCCUCUAACUCGUGUCCUUACAUAGGCCUGGGAUAUCUUUGGCAUUUAUGCCAUGGCCACCAGUGCUCCAGAGGCACAAAGGAGUUCUAAUGUCCGGCCCAGUCCCCUGCUCAAUCAGCCCAAGGACUUGCUGCCCAUGUCUGCCCACAAGCCGAUCUACCUCAGUGAUGCUGCAGUAGGGCCAGGCUCCAGCUGCCCACAGCCCUGCCUGGACAUGGGCCCCACAUCCUAUCAUGUCACCACAGCCCAUGUGGUACCCUGGCAAUGGCCGUGGGUUAAAGGUGUUUUCCCACAUGCUUUCCAUUCAAGAUGAUGUCCUUCGCUCACAGGAUUCUAUGACCAUCUAAGUCUUCCCUGUCACUUGCAUAAGUACACAUGUGAGUAAGUAUAUUUAUUGAGAGUCAAACCAUGUGUAUGAAAUAUGGGAUAAAGCAUACAGAAGUAUUAUAUAUAUUGUUACUCUAAGGUUUCCUCCUAUCUCCCUGUCCUGCAAUCUCCCUUUCUCCUCUCUUUCCCCUCUAGUUUGAUGUCUACGGGGAAGAAGAGAAGCUGGGGGUGAAGUGAGGCAGCCUGUAAAGCAAUGAAUGACAGGCAAAUCCAUAUCAGGAAUUAAUUUCAGCAUGUUUCAUAUCUAAUCACUCAGAAAUCACACAAAUUUACUCCUUUACUCCUAUUUUGUUGAUGGCUAGAAUAUUACUUGUAAGCCAAAGCUUUUGUGU